rnacentral:rRNA from 1 species
UUGAACGCUAGCGGGAUGCUUUACACAUGCAAGUCGAACGGCAGCGCGGACUUCGGUCUGGCGGCGAGUGGCGAACGGGUGAGUAAUGUAUCGGAACGUGCCCAGUAGCGGGGGAUAACUACGCGAAAGCGUAGCUAAUACCGCAUACGCCCUACGGGGGAAAGCAGGGGAUCGUAAGACCUUGCACUAUUGGAGCGGCCGAUAUCGGAUUAGCUAGUUGGUGAGGUAACGGCUCACCAAGGCGACGAUCCGUAGCUGGUUUGAGAGGACGACCAGCCACACUGGGACUGAGACACGGCCCAGACUCCUAAGGGAGGCAGCAGUGGGGAAUUUUGGACAAUGGGGGCAACCCUGAUCCAGCCAUCCCGCGUGUGCGAUGAAGGCCUUCGGGUUGUAAAGCACUUUUGGCAGGAAAGAAACGUCGCGGGCUAAUACCCCGUGGAACUGACGGUACCUGCAGAAUAAGCACCGGCUAACUACGUG